GGGCGUGUGGCGUAGUUGGUAGCGCGUUCGCUUAGCAUGCGAAAGGUCCUGGGUUCAAUUCCCAGCUCGUCCA